ACCUCGGCUCCUUUAAGACCAAGCGAAACAUUCGCGACAUGAAAUCUGGAAAGACUGGUGACCAACCCUCCCACCCUCUCUUGUCUUGCGACCAAAACUAGUUUCAAGACGACCGGGCGAAAAUAUUUGUCUUUCCCUUGAAGGAACGGAUGAUUGAGGCGUCAACUUCCCGACAUUUCCUCCGACAUCUCCCCUCUCUAGACAAAAGUUUGUGGAUCCUCCAAGAGUUUGGGAACUAAAGAUUGAUAGAAAGCCUCCUUUUUCUGUAGGGGGGAACUUUGAAAACAUGGAUUGGGGGACGGAUCUUUGGGACCAGUAUGAUGGUAUUGAUAAACACACCCAGUCAGGACUGGAUCUGGUGGACCGAUAUGUGAAGUUUGUGAGAGAACGGACCGAGAUAGAACAGAACUACGCCAAGCAACUCAGAAACCUCUCCAAGAAAUACCUUAAACGAGGCAGCAAGGAGGAGCAAGAGUGUGGGUUCACCAAUCACCAGUCAUUCCAGGACAUUGUGAAUGAGCUGAAUGACUAUGCGGGCCAGAGAGAGCUGAUAGCAGAGAACAUGAUGACUGGAAUCUGUGUAGAACUCACCAAAUACCUUCAGGACCUCAAACAAGAACGCAAAACCUACCUGGCCGAUGCCAAAAAAGCUCAACAGAACUUGGAGAUCAGUUUCAAACAGCUGGAGAAUACUAAGAGGCGUUUUGCCAAGGAGUGGGGAGAGGCAGAGAAAGCCACACAGCAAGCGGAGAAAAUUGAGAACGACACAAACGCUGUGAAAGCAGAUGUUGAGAAGGUGAAGCAGCAUGCCCAUGUGAAGACACACACAGCGGAGGAGUGCAGGAACGACUACGCCGCCCAGCUCCAGAAAUACAACAAGGAACAGAACACCUUCUACUACACAGAGAUACCGCAGCUGUUUAAUAAGCUGCAGGAUAUGGAUGAGCGGCGUAUCAGGUGCUUGGCAGAGGGCUACAGUCAGUUUGCUGAGGUAGAGAAGAAGGUUUUACCCAUCAUCACUAAAUGUCUGGACGGGAUCAGUAUGGCAGGGCAGAACACCAACGGCAAACAGGACUCCUUGCGGUUUAUAGAACAACACAAGUCAGGUUUUGAGCGACCGGCUGAAGUGGACUUUGAAGACUACAGCCAAGGUAUCAAACCAGCCUCCUCAGACGCCAACCUCAACCAACCUAAAAUACGCACUAAACUGUGGCCCUUCAGUCACAAGAAAACCAAGUCUCCAGCUGCUGAGGACUACUCUCACCUGCCUCCAGAACAGAGGAAGAAGAGACUUCAGUCCAAGAUUGAUGACAUCACCAAGGAACUUCAAAAGGAGCUGGACCAGAGGCCAUUAGAGAAGAUGAGAGGUGUUUAUGAACGGAACCCUCAGAUGGGAGACCCAGCCAGUCUAGAACCUCAGAUCACCCAGACCUCGCAGAACGUUGGACGACUCAGAGGACAACUCACCAAAUACGAGACACUCUGGCUUGGGGACACAGACACUCUGGCUUGGGGACACAGACACUCUGGCUUGGGGACACACAGACACUCUGGCUUGGGGACACAGACACUCUGUUCCAUGUCAGCUGAUCCGUCUCAGAACAUCUACUCAGAGUUUGAUGAAGACUUUGAUGAAGAUGUGGAGACUCCUAUAGGAAAGGCUACUGCCCUCUACACCUUCCAAGGUUCCAGUCAGGGGACAGUGUCUAUAACAGAAGGCGAGCAGCUCAGUGUGAUGGAGAGUGAUAAAGGAGAUGGAUGGAUGAGGGUUCUACGAGCCAACGGAGACGAAGGAUACAUCCCCUCAUCCUACGUCAAAUUCUAGACAAUCACACACACACACACACACAUGGAUACACCGAUUUAACACACACACACACGGACGGAUGGACACACACUCCUUUCAGCCAAGGACUUCCAUUCUGUGUGUUUAAGCAGUACCACCCCUUCAUCUCUCUAUCUACCUCUCUCUCUCUCUCUUCCUCUCUCUACCUCUCUUCCUCUCUCUACCACGCUGUUACUCUCUCUACUACUCUGUUACUCUCUCUACCACUCUCUCUCUACCUCUUCCUCUCUCUCUACCUCUUCCUCUCUCUCUACCUCUCUCUACCUCUCUCUCUACCUCUCUCUCUCUACCUCUCUCUCUCACUCCACCUCUUCAUCCUCCUCUCUCCACCCCUCCUCCUCUCCCUCCACCCCUCUCCCAGUCCCAUUCCUCUCUCCCUAUACUUACCUAAUCACAGAUCAUUAGUUGCCAUGACAUUGUGAUUGUUUUUAUAUUAAAUGACUGCUAUCCUAGUUAUCAGAUUUGGAUGAAAUUGUUCUCAGCUGGAUGGUGAAGCCACUAUUUUAUGGACCAUGUUCUCUGCGUCCCAAACGCCACCCUGUUUUCUAAAUAGUGUACUUGUUUGUCACAUGUUCUCUCAUCAGAAGAGUGGUUAGAUCCCAAAUGAUACCCUAUUCCCUAUAUAGUACACUACUAUAGACCAGAGCCCUAUUCCCUAUAUAGAACACUACUAUAGACCAGAGCCCUAUUCCCUAUAUAGAACACUACUAUAGACCAGAGCCCUAUUCCCUAUAUAGUACACUACUAUAGACCAGAGGCCUAUUCCCUAUAUAGUGCACUACUGUUGAUCAGGGCCCUAUUCCCUAUAUAGUACACUACUGUUGACCAGAGCCCUAUUCCCUAUAUAGAACACUACUGUUGAUCAGGGCCCUAUUCCCUAUAUAGUGAACUACUGUUGACCAGAGCCUUAUUCCCUAUAUAGUGCACUAAUUUUGACCAGAGGCCUAUUCCCUAUAUAGAACACUACUAUAGACCAGAGACCUAUUCCCUAUAUAGUACACUACUGUUGAUCAGGGCCCUAUUCCCUAUAUAGUGCACUAAUUUUGAUCAGAGGCCUAUGAGGAAUAGGGGGCCAAUUUGGGACGCAGACUGUAUGUGAAACUGGUCAGUUUUUAAAUGUUUCUGAGGUUCUUAUUGGUUGUCUGAUUCUCUGACCAUGUCUGUGGUUGUUAUGGUUACCGUCUGGUCCAGUUCAUACAGACUGUUUUGGUUGUCUGAUUCUCUGACCAUGUCUGUGGUUGUUAUGGUUACCGUCUGGUCCAGUUCAUACAGACUGUUUUGGUUGUCUGAUUCUUUGUUCUGUUUAUCUCUCUCUCUUUUUGUGGUUUAACUGUCUGUGGUCAGGUUCUGGCCAAUCAGAUGGCUCUGUGGUCAGGUUCUGGCCAAUCAGAUGGCUCUGUGGUCAGGUUCUGGCCAAUCAGAUGGCUCUGUGGUCAGGUUCUGGCCAAUCAGAUGGCUCCGUGGUGGUGUUGUGACUACUGCUGUCUAACUUCUCCUGGAGGACCCCUGGUGUUUCUGAUAGUUUAAUGUCUGUCCAGCCCGGGAUUCAAUCAAAGGCGCAUUGUGGAUUAUGAGCAUACCACACUAGACUGUUCAAUCUAAUGUUCAGCUGACAUCCGCAGCGUUUACCAUGACAACCAUCUCCACGACAACCAGAGGAAUGAGCUGGUUAACGGUGCAUCGUUGACGGGUGUCGUGGACAGUGCACCUUUGGUUGACUCCCAGCCGUCUCACUCAGAUCUGGGACACCAAAUCAUGUAUCAAUUACAUGUCCCAAAAUGGCACCCUAUUCCCUAAUAUAGUGCACUAGAUUUGACCAGACUGGCACCCUAUUCCCCAUAUAGUCCCCUACCUUUGACCAGAGGCCCACGGGGUAGCGGGAGGCCCACGGGGGUAGCGGGAGGCCCACGGGGGUAGCGGGAGGCCCACGGGGGUAGCGGGAGGCCCACGGGGGUAGCGGGAGGCCCCGGGGGUAGCGGGAGGCCCACGGGGGUAGCGGGAGGCCCACGGGGGUAGCGGGAGGCCCACGGGGGUAGCGGGAGGCCCACGGGGGUAGCGGGAGGCCCACGGGGGUAGCGGGAGGCCCACGGGGGUAGCGGGAGGCCCACGGGGGUAGCGGGAGGCCCACGGGGGUAGCGGGAGGCCCACGGGGGUAGCGGGAGGCCCACGGGGGUAGCGGGAGGCCCACGGGGUAGCGGGAGGCCCACGGGGUAGCGGGAGGCCCACGGGGGGCAGUGUCUGUCAGCCCUCCAGGUCUCGUUUGACCUCACAGGGGAACAGGACCGUGUCUGUCAGCCCUCCAGGUCUAGUUUGACCUCGCAGGGGAACAGGACCGUGUCUGUCAGCCCUCCAGGUCUAGUUUGACCUCGCAGGGGAACAGGACCGUGUCUGUCAGCCCUCCAGGUCUAGUUUGACCUCACAGGGGAACAGGACAGUGUCUGUCAGCCCUCCAGGUCUAGUUUGACCUCACAGGGGAACAGGACAGUGUCUGUCAGCCCUCCAGGUCUAGUUUGACCUCACAGGGGAACAGGACAGUGUCUGUCAGCCCUCCAGGUCUAGUUUGACCUCACAGGGGAACAGGACAGUGUCUGUCAGCCCUCCAGGUCUAGUUUGACCUCACAGGGGAACAGGACAGUGUCUGUCAGCCCUCCAGGUCUAGUUUGACCUCACAGGGGAACAGGACAGUGUCUGUCAGCCCUCCAGGUCUAGUUUGACCUCACAGGGGAACAGGACAGUGUCUGUCAGCCCUCCAGGUCUAGUUUGACCUCACAGGGGAACAGGACAGUGUCUGUCAGCCCUCCAGGUCUAGUUUGACCUCACAUCUCCCUGGUUAAAUGGAACUGGACUCGUCACUCGCUGCUUCUCAAUGUUUUAUGGAGUGUCUGUAUGUUAUUAUAUGAUCACAUUUUAAAACUACUUAUGUGUUGACCUCUAAAUACCCUGUGAACUAUUUUGAUUGAGAAAAAAUAAAAAUAAUAAAUAGAUUUAUGUCA
rnacentral:lncRNA from 1 species